AAAUUGAUUCAUUUUCUCUUUUUCUCCUCAUUUCUCUCCCGUCUACCCAUUUUCCAUCACCACCUCCAUCUUCUAAACCCUAGCCGCCGCAACAUCGCCCAUCCCUCUCUUCACUUGCCUCUCUCCACUUCAAUCACAUCCCUCUCUUCUCUUUCUUCUCUCCAUUACUAUCACUUUAUUUGUUCUCUCCCCUCUCUUCUCUCUCCCAUUCACAUCUAUCUUCAUCUUCAACACUUCUUCUUAAGAGAAAAGAUACAUCAGAUCGCGCAUCGUUUCAACGGGAAAAUAGGUGAAGCUUGAUUCAAUGGCAAUGUCAAUACCCCCAUUAGGGUUUCCAAAAAGAAAAUGUUAAAGUUACAACACUCAGAGAUCAAAGACAUGGAGCAGUAGCACAAGCUAGAAUAUCAUAGUGAAGGAGCAUGGGGAAGAAUCAGAGACAUUUUCUUUUCUCUUUCUCUACCAUUUUCCAAUCUUCCCCUUUUAAGUUCUUCUGAUUUUAAUGAAUUUUUCCUAACUUUAUUUUGAUUUUGUUCUAUAAAUAGGUUUCGAAUCUUAUAUUGAGGAAGGUUUCUUGACUCAAGGGUAUUGGAUAUCAAAGGUAGUAUUAGUGGUAUUGAUUAGGGUUUUCAUCAAGAAACAACUCAAGAUCGAUUUUGUAAUUGAUGAUGCUGAUGGUGUAGAAGAAGGAACAUUUGUUACUAUCAUUGGACGGAGGAAGCAACAGAGUGAGGAAUCCAUAAUACAGGAGAAGUCCAUACUGAAUGCUGCCGAUAAACUAGCGUUCAUUAUCGAAGAAAGCCAGUAUAAAGGUACUGAAAUCACUGACCAAUAUGAGAAAUCUCAAUUUACAAGGGAAUCCUGUUGCUGCAAUUGAGAAAGUUACAAGAAAGGAUCCCGCAACAAGACACGGGCGUUGAUGAACAAUUACAAAGGAAGAUUUUUUCAGCAAAAAGAGCAAGAUUGCGGAGAUUCUGUAUACUCAAUCAGAAUAAGAGAAAACGCGUGCGGCUUAAUGACACGGUCAUGACAACACCUAGCACAAGUCAGAUUCCCCUAUCAGAUAUCACACAUUCAACUUCAAACCAUAGGAGCCUCAUAAACCAAAUAGUUUCUGAUGGAAAACUUAUUAAAGCCUUUUUACAACAGACACAGCCGACAUAUUCAUUAUAUUCUACCCAUACUCCUCCAAAAAUCUUUAAUCUACAUAAUAUGAAAACAAACCUUUUCGCAAGAUUCUCCAAUGUUGCUACACGUCAAGAUGUUGAAAACUAAAUGCCGCAAGUUCUUCCAAAUCCCACAAGUUCAGCAUGUCCAAGCUCUACUAAAACGGAAUUAACUGGCAACAAUCUACACAAAGAUGUUGCUGCUAUGCCAAUUAAGCAAAGUAGAGGUCGUCCAAAGAAACUUCCAGGAGUGCCAGUGAUGCUUUUAACACACUCUAAUGCUUGCUUCAUGUCAAUGUAUUUGGACUUUUGGCUACUGUCUCUUACAUUUUUUGAGUGCAGCAACAGGGCAUGGAAGAUUACACGGCAAGACAAUCUUAAAAGCAUUCCGCCUACCAAUACUGUCUUACAUAAUUCUCCUGAUAUCAUUGUCUUUACUCAUUGUAUUUUGUUAAUCAUACAUAUUUCUAACUCAUUUAAUGCUUUCAAAUGUAGGUAUAUUGUAAUGGCCCUCUCUUGACAUUCUUCGUUUUUUUUGAUCAAUUUGGUUACAUAUUAUUCAUUGAAUUCCUAUAGAAACGAAAGCAAUUACCAUGGAGCUACUACAAUCCUCAUGUGUGAUCAUUUAACUAUCAAGAUAUUGGUUGCUCUAUUUUUUUUUUUAUUUCACUCAUUUGCAUAUUAUAGUUUCAAAUAUGUUGAGAAACUUUUUCUUUCAAUUUGUAAUCAGUUUAAGUGUUUUUGAUUUUUCUGUAAUCAAAAUAUAUUAUACAUCAU